AGUGAACGCUGGCGGUAGGCCUAACACAUGCAAGUCGAACGGCAGCACCGUAAGAGCUUGCUCUUACGGGUGGCGAGUGGCGGACGGGUGAGGAAUACAUCGGAAUCUACUUUUUCGUGGGGGAUAACGUAGGGAAACUUACGCUAAUACCGCAUACGACCUACGGGUGAAAGCAGGGGAUCUUCGGACCUUGCGCGAUUGAAUGAGCCGAUGUCGGAUUAGCUAGUUGGCGGGGUAAAGGCCCACCAAGGCGACGAUCCGUAGCUGGUCUGAGAGGAUGAUCAGCCACACUGGAACUGAGACACGGUCCAGACUCCUACGGGAGGCAGCAGUGGGGAAUAUUGGACAAUGGGCGCAAGCCUGAUCCAGCCAUACCGCGUGGGUGAAGAAGGCCUUCGGGUUGUAAAGCCCUUUUGUUGGGAAAGAAAAGCAGCAGGUUAAGACCCCGCUGUUCUGACGGUACCCAAUGAAUAAGCACCGGCUAACUUCGUG
rnacentral:rRNA from 1 species